CGGGGCCCGGCCGCGAUGGCGGCGCCUCCCAACGGCCGCUGCCCGGGGGAGGGCGGGGGGCUGAGGGCGGGGGGGCGGCGGCGCCGCGUCCUGAGCCCCAACAGCGGCGGCGGCGGCGAGGUGACAGGUUCCCCACCACGUGACAAUCAAGAUCACAGCAGCCUCCAUCUGCAGCACAGUCAGUGAAGACGACCACAAUAUCCAAGACAUGGAGGAGAACUCUACUCAGCCCUGCACUGGAAAUGUUUUCCUUUCAAUAAGUUGUGUAUGUUUUGUCCAUGUAAGUGGUUGGUGUUGCAGAACGUAUCUGCAGUAAAGAAGGAAAGUGUAUCCCACAUUUCAAGUAUUAUCCAGGAGACCAGAUCGAUUCCUUUGGUGCUGAAAGUGAUUUUUGUGUGUACCUUGCAUAAAUCUGUAUCGCAGUUUGAAUCUUAAUAACAUACUAAAUGUUGUAAACACCCAUUAGCUACUUAAAUGUGCAAGCUUUUAGAAAUCUGAAAUUAGAUUAUUUACUGGGCUUUUAGGUGGAAUAAGCUUUAAUUACUGUUAUAUUCUAUUAAUAUGCAAUAACCGUAUUGGUGUUGCCUAACAGAUUGACAGUUGUGAAACAAGCAGUCAGACUUGUGCAGUAGCUGAUUUUCCAUCUUUUCAGCAUCCAGCUGGUUUUGUCAGAGGUCACACACAGCAUUUCUGUAAUAAAAUGUUUUCAUUUGUAAAAAAAAAUGCCUGUUUGGUUGUUAAACAACAGGCAGGAAGUUUUGUAACAGCUAUGUGGAAGGAGAUGAGCAGAUUCAGCCAGACUGGAUCAGAAUUUUGGGAAACGGAAGAGAACAGCAAAAGCUUGUUGUGCCUUUACCACCUCCUCCAGCUCCCAGUGACAUGCAGGAAGUGGGCUGCCCCUGCGCUCAAAUAUUUGCUGUGGUUUCUCUUGCUGAUCCAAUGAUAGGAAUUUUAACAGACUAUGUGCUUCAGUUUUGCUGUGUCAUCACGAAAGGCUUUCCUAACAAGGUCAGGAUAAGAAGUAAAAUGGGGCCUUCCCAUUUAGGUAUUUAUCUGAACAGAAAAACAGCAUAUCCAGCGUUUCAUAAGGUGGAAUAGCACAUACGUGGUUCAGUUUCUCUUUAUGUGACUACCAAAGUUUUACUGAACUACUGUUUAUUCAAUUGAAAUUAUUUUAAUAUUAGUGAAUUAUUAAAGUAAGUGGCCAGGCUCUCACAAGAGCAAGCUUCAUGAACAGAAGUCCCUACCAAGUAUAUAAAAACUUUUGAGUGUAAUUUAAGACUUUCUAUGCAUAUUUUUGUGCAGGCUGAAUCCUGCUCCUUUGUGAUUGGUCAGAAUAGCUCAAAGACAAAAGUCCCAAGUGAUAUUGAAUGGAAGAUGAUGCCGUGAUUUCUUUCAGUUAAAUACAUGGCUUAUAUGCAUAUAUAGUAGGCAGAUUACUGUUAAAAGAGCAGUUCUCUCUCCAAAUCAACCCACUUAAAUGAGCAAAGGAGCUGUUGAAACAGAGGAGAGCUGUGACGUGCCCAUCCUGAUCUUUUUUUUGCUGAAGCCCUGUCCCAGCAUAGCAGUUGUUUUACUGAAAGGUCUGUGCUGCUGGGUUUUGUUGCUGUUUUAGAGCAUGCUGGUUGGUUUUAGAUGCAGGUCUCUGGGCUGGAUUAGAACAAAGUUCUAUGUCAGGUAAAUUAACAGGUUUAAGAUAAAUCAUCUCAGGCUCACGUGCCUCAUUUUAAUAUGACUGGUUCUGAAGAGAACCGGGGUACAGGUUACAGGUUUACACAAGUCUAAUUUUCCACAAAACUCUCUAUAUAUUAGAUUAUUUUUAGCCUAAACCAAGGCUUAAUUUUUCAACAAAAUAAGGGAUUAAAAUUUUUAUUUAUAUUUAAUUUUCAUUAUGGAUGUUUACCAUGACAUAUCAUCAAUGUAAAUUGUGGACCCAGCCAUUCAAAUCAUCUCUAUCCAUAUUUGAAAGUGACUUUACCAUUACCCCUUAUUUGCUGGUGAAAUAUUUCAUUAUUUGUCACAGUCUCAAGAUCAGACAUUCCAGAUGUCAGUACAUCUCUUCUGAUGAGAAAAUUGUGGAAUUACGUUUGUUUGUUUGUUUGUUUUGUUAUUUUUUGUUUGUUUGUUUGUUUUCUAACAUGAUAGUUCUCCCAUCAUUAUAACUAACCAUUUCAUUUCUCCAUUUUAAUGAAAAAAAGUUGGUUUUUUUGAAGAAAAGCUGUUAGUGGUACGCAAGCACCUCUCUUACAGUAACAAAGGAUGCACACAUUAAGGGUAAAUGGAAAGAGAGGAGAUAAACAGCCCCCUCCAUGGUCUUCCUGAGGGAAAGCUCACACUUGACGCAUCUGCAGGGGAACCGUAGGGGAAAGUAUCAGCUUGCAAACAGUGUAUGGGAAAAAACAAUUACACCUAACAGUCAGCUGUUCUGUUCCUUACGAAAUGCACCCUACAAUGUCAUCCGAAUCCCUUCUUCGUCCAGUGUAAGACUCCUUUUCUAUGCAUUUCAGUUUCACUAAGCAGAUUGAAUACUAUUUGAAGGUUUCCUAUUUCAAAUACAGUGUAUAUUUUCCUCUCCAGGCUUCUCACUUCUUCCAGCUUUUGCUCUGUUCUUUCAGUGAAGUCUUUGCUGCCUCUUUUUCUCCAGUCUCUGUUUCACAUUCAGUGUUUUAUCUAUCAUGCCGUGAUUCUCUUCUUGGGUGACAUCUUUAAAAUCUCUCUGUCAUCACCAGCAUAACUGUGCUUCAUAUCUUAUUCAUUACUUGAUUGUUGCAACAUCUUUUUUUGGCCUCCAUUCUUCCCACUCUCCAGACAAAGCUAUUCUUUACUGUCCCUCUCAAGCCUCUUCAGCAUUUGCACCAGCUCUGUACCUCUUUCUGAUGGCUGCAUCCAAUUAUCAACCCUUCUUUCCCAUAAGACCGUGUGCACUGCCUGCUGUCCCUUAAUAAUCAUGCUAAAAUCUACACUUUUCCCGAAGAGCAAGACAAAACACAGAAGCAAAAAAGAAUGCAUGGUGGAAUUUGCUUCUCAAUACAAUUACUGCCAAGUUAUACCUAGUUUUCUUUAGAAAGUGUACUGCAUUCAUUUAUAUACCUCUGCAGCAUGUGCGUAUGCCCUUGCAUGCCUAGAUUGGCGUACACCCCAAGUGGUAAAUUCUCCCAGCAUACUUCAGUCAAUACUUAUUUAUUCUCGUCUGGCUUUAGUUGUAGCCUUAAUCUAAGGUUCAAUAGUUUCUAUGCCUUUGCUCAUGUAUUAUGCAGAGUUCAGGAAGGAAUUACCAUGUAAAUGUCAGCUUCCCAUGAUCUCAGCUCUUUGCAAGUAAUUCAGUCCAGACACAGAAAUUAGAACUGAACUUGGAAGUUAUGUUUGCCUCCAUACUAACCACAUACACUUCAUUCUUCAUGCACCAAAGGUAUAAAUACAUGUAUUUAGCAAGCAGAUGCUGUGAUUUUAAAAGCUGUGUUAUUGCCAGAGCACCCAAGGAGACUCAGCGUGAAUCAUGUGCACUUAUGUUUGUUUAGGUGCAAAGUCCAGUGACUUGGCUUAAGCUCCUUUUGAAGGUGAGUUUAAAGCUAAGCUCUCAGAUUUUUUUUAUUUUGUUUUUUAACUGAGGCAAUUAAAGGGAAAGUACAGGUUGCAUGCUGCUUUGAGAUUGGCAGCACGUGGCAAGCAGGUUGAAAACACACCAGGCAUUACUAGGACUUUGUAUCCACUGCAGUGCAUUUUCCAGAGCCCAUCUAAACCACACUUUUGCACAGCUCCAAGAUCCUUAAUGCAAGGGGUUUCUCUUCCUAGUCAUUUUAAGUGUAUUGUAUCAAGUAAAAAAUUUGAGUUGGGUGCUAGGGUGUGUGAAAUCUGAGACUUACUCAAAGCAAUUAGCUGAGUAACUAUUCAUCUUAAAUUGUUUUCCUACAAUGUUUUCAGGCCAUGACUAACUCCCACUGUACUACACCCAUCUUUUCCAGCAUUCAUGACUGAUAUUUUGAGCAUAUGCUAGAAGAACACUUUAUGAAGAACAAACAUAUAUUUCAUUUUGGGACCCUUUGCUCAAUUAUUACAUACCUACUAGGUAGAUUUUUAAGCAAAAGAAGCAUACAUGCAGUUGGGCUGAUGCUUUUCAGGUGCCACUUCUUGCUUCACACUUCAGUUGUUCACAUCCUCAUUCAGAUAUUUCUCACCAUUCUUUAAAUUAGUCAGCUCUGUCAUGUGAAUAUCAUAAUUAAUUCCCAAAGAGAUUUUUGAAAGCAAGACAGUACUUCAAAAAUUGCUUAAAAUGUUUGACAAAAUAAUUUGCAAACAUUCAGGGCAGGCUCAUCUGAGGCCAGCAGCAGAAAGACCAUAGUUUUCUGAUAUUGUGGCCUACCUUUUCUUAUCCUCAUGCAAUGCUGCAUCACCCUUCCAUUUUCCCACCACCAGCUCUUUGCAGGGCCGUGCUGUGAACCAGAUCAGGAGGCCUGGUCAGCUGAAAAAUAAUUUUUAAAAGCUGCAGGAAAUAGGAAUCAUUUCCUGACCUAAUUCCUGGCACAUCCCCCAUGUACCGGAGAGGUGUCAUGCUGCAAUGAAGGAAUGCUGACUGAUUCCUUCCAUCUGUGGUACCUCUGAAACCUGCCUGGCCCCAAACCAUGGUCAGGCCUGAACAGAGAAACAGAGGAGAAGACAGCAGCAGGUGAGCUGAGGAAUCAGGAAAGAGAGAGAAGAGCUUGUUUUGUUAGAAGGUGGCUACAGGGAAUCCUGAAAAAGAAGGUGAUUCUCAAAUGGAUGAAGAACAAAAUCGGUAGAUGUCUGUAGAACCAGCACGUGGGGUUGCCCUCUUUACUUGGAUGUGAAGAAUGUAAACAGCAGCAGGAGCUGUGAUGUUCAAAACUCUCUGAAUUUAGAAACCAGGAAAGGAAGUAUUUCAGCAACACCAAAGCAUCCACUGCUAACACUGUAUUUAUCCAAACUGUAAUGAACAACUUUAAAUAAGAAGAGCUUAUGGAGCCAUGUUUAGCUGGAAGAUCUGUGUGGGAGAGGGGUGGAUACCUUUGGACUUUGUUAAUAAUUAAGUGGAGGAGUGUGCUAAAGCCUAUGGAAUGGAUAGUAUGGCAGUAAAAAUACCAUGACUCACUGAAGUCUGAGGUUAACAAACAGACAGAAGUAAACAGUAUUGCACAUGACAGAUCCUUGUGCAGCUAGACCUGUCUCUCUUUAGUGAAACUGUGUAUGAAAUGCUUCCUUCGCUUCUGGAAACCUUGUGGAAAUAAUCUGAUACUGAACCUGAGAGAAAUAAAACCUGUUGCAUUCAGAGUUGGAUCCAAAUCUAGUGCAGGUUUUUUUUUUUUCAUUUGUUUUUGGUAAUAAUUCCUAAGGUAAUAUCUUGCCUGUUAAAGAAAAAAUACACAAAGAAACCUUAUUUUCUCAGAUCACUUAGCUCCAAAUGCAGUGAGUGCCAGGAUAAAAAUCUGGCUAUAUAGUUUAAAAAAGGCAACAGCAAAGCAUUCUGUGUGUUGCAGGCCUUUCUAAUCUGCUUUUCUGUAUAUUAGUGUCACCAGAUAUUCAGUUUUUCACUGAAUUGUUUUAGGGGGCCUCUCCUACUUUUUUAAAUUGUUAUUAAUUCUUAUCUAUAUUAAUAUAAUUUUCUCCCUUUCACCUUCUGUUCAUGCCUUGAGGUAACACUCAGUCUGCUGCUACACUUUAUAGGAACUGGCAGACCAAAUUCAUCCUGUUAGUAUGCAAAGGAGCAAAUAUUCAGAAGAUGUUCUCCUAUCAGCUACUUGCUGCUCACGGAGUUUAUAUGCAGUUCUUAUUUGGGUUCCCUAUUUUGACAACCAUAGCUGGAGACCCCAGAGGUUCCCAAGCCACUGGGAAGCAGCAAGAAUGGGACAUGAAAAACUAGUAAGUGCCAUUCUACAAGAAACUAAGUACAAGAAGCAGAAUACAAGAGCAUUUAAUUAGAGACUUUGCAUAGAUUUCACAUCUUUUUUAAGUCAUGCUACCCUAUUGCAGUUUCUUUGAUUACCUAAUCCAUCUGCAUGUAUGCCUGCAAAUAUUUGCUAAAGAACUCAAAAUAUUUGCUGUUUAUCCUGGGGAGCAGUACUACAAAUAUUUGUUUAAUGUCCUGACUAGGAUUUUCAGAUGUAUCAGCUCACUCAAUAUAUCUUUAAUUUAUUUCCAAUUAAUCUAGAAAGAAAAAAUCUAUCUUCUGUAUUCCUACCCUGUAUGUCUCUUUUUGAAAUGUUUACAUUCUAGGAGUUUACCCAUUGAAGAUAUGCAAAAGAAAAUGUGCCCUGUCAGUCUCACACAUGUCAACAGGUCUGUCAUCUUUAAAAAAAAAAUCCUUUAAUGCAAUAUACCAAUAUACUUGCAGUGAGCUCCCUGCACCACUGAGAAAAUGGGGUGAAGACAAGGCACUGUUAUGUUAUCAUAGGGUAAAUGAGGCUAAGAUUAACCAAGGGUGUGAGUGUGCUGACUUCACCUAAUUGCCUGGCAGUGCUGUCUCUCCACUUAAGAUUUUACAGUUAGAUUAGCUAUUACAUAUUACUGUGCUCUAAGACAAGUGCUUUGGUGUAAAUAAAAACAAGAACCUUUUUUUUUUUUUUUUUUUUUUUUAAUCCAACAAAA